GUUACUGAGACGUCAGACAUGAAGAGAAGCCCUUUCAGCUUUCUUUGAAACCACCUAAAAUCCUCCAUCGUUUUUGGGAUUGAAUGCGUCCGAUGAAUCGUUUGCGGUUCCCACACACAUAUACAAGACCUUCUGCCUCUCUUCGUCUUCAAUUAUAGAUUAAGGAGGUUACAGAAUAACAUAUUUUUAGGGUUCCCGUGAGUUCCUCUUUCGAUAUUUUGGAUCUGGUCCGAAAAUUGUUCAUAUAAGGUUUUGUAGCAACAACUCCUCAACGACAUUCUCGUAUAUGAAUCGAAAGAAGAUGAUUGGCAAAGAGAUGGGGCGAUUUCAGACGCAGAUAUGGGGAAUAUGGUUUUGAGUACUCAGAGUAGGAACCUGAGGCUGAAGAGCAAGAUUUGGAUAUUGAAAAUCAAUAUUACAAUUUGAAAGUUCAAUUGCUCAUCCAAUUGCUCAUCCGAACUGUUAGAAGGCGCUCGAGUUUAGAUGUCGUUUAUAUAAAACUCUCACACUUUUUUAAUGUGUUUGGCAUCAUGUUCUACACCCAGUUUGCUUCCAAUUCGUACCACUCGCGAUUAAGUUUUGGUACGGGCCCUGAUCACAAUACACAAUUUUGGUACUUUGGCAUUUGAAUUAGUAAACAAGCAUAUUGAAGAAGAUGAAUGAAUCAUCGUCAUCACCGGUUCUUUCAUCUCAAGCGCGAGUAAAUGGACAGCAAAAAGGUUAUCGCUGUCCACAAGGACACUGGGGUCCGAAAAGAGAAACUAGGAGAUCAAGUAACAAGGCUCCAGCAAUUUGUUUCGCAAUUCGGAAAGGUAUAUGUCUAAAACAAGUUUACAAAUAACAGGCAUUAAUCAAUCCGAGAGACCUUCAUAGCUCCUACAUGCCCUUCAACAAUAAUCAUAUGAUGUUUCAUGGGAUUCCAUGCUUAUAUUUUAAUUAUAAUAUAAACAUACAUGAUGAAAUUCUGAUAAUCAUCUUGGCAGUAAUGGGCCCUCUCAUAUGAUAUUAUAUUCUCCCUACAAAAUUUUUUAUUUUGAUCUCACACUAUAUAAAUGUAACCCAGUAUGAACAUUUACAAGUUCAUGCGCAUGUUGGUGUUUUAUCACAGUUAGGUUUGACGGGUCGGACCGUUUCUAGCAUUCCCCGAACAUAAAAUCGUGGUUUUAAGCAUGAGAAGCGAGUCCCAAGGUGCUUAUAGUACCAAAAAUGUUCGGUUCGGUACAAUAUUGGUGUUUGGAGGUAAAAAUCGUAGAACACGGGUACCGUACUAAACCGGUACUCAACCGAAAAUACCAGUAACAAAAACGCCAAAAAGUCGGUGACGGGAAAUUCGGUACCGGUAUCAAAUGCUCAUUCCUAGCUAUAAAUAUUAUCUCUGUAGACUAUAGUUUAAGAUGCUUUUUUAACUUUUUAACUUAAUAGGCUAAUAUUAUCUCUGUAGAUUAUAGUAGCAGCUGUUGAAGGUUGAUGGUUAAUAUUCGAUGCCAAAACGUUAAAACUGGAAACAAUCAAAGUUGCUUCUUUUUCUUUUUGAUUAAACGAAACAUCCAAACAUGUUGAUUUUUAUUAAAACGGGCAUCGUAAUGAGGAUUCUUUUCCAUAUAUAGUUCUUGAUGUGGUUUUUUAUUUAUUUCAAAUUUCAAAAUGACGAAAGAGGUCAUGUCUAAAUAUGUACUCUGAUUACGACUUUAAAGAGGUCAGUAUUUGAUUAUUUUUAAAAUUUCUGCAGAUUUUUUAUUACUUUUUGCUUGAGUAUACAAAAUGAUUUUGGAUUUAAGGUCAAUAUUUGAUGAUUUAUGUAUCAACUAACAAUUUAUGCAUUUUGUUCUAUAACGUGUUCUAAGUGUAUGCCCAUCUUGUAGGUUCCGCAACUCAGACGUUAGCAGCGCCUACUGCAAGUCAUGCUUCCACUUUUUUUCCUAUUUUCCUAAAGUGGUUCAUGUUUGUCUGCGGGGAGUGGGGGCAUUGGCUGGGGCGGUGGAUGCCGUUCAACGCCAGCUGCUCCACCCCGGGUUGGCGUUGACAUGGCGUUGCCUCUUUGGCGUAGGUAUUCAGCCUGGCAUGGGGCGGAAUAUGAAUGAAGUUCUUACACGACUUAAAUCUGGGCCUGAAGGAACCUGUCGUUAACGUCUGGGCCCCGUCACAAAUUGAUUAGAGCUCUAUUGAGCUGAUAUUCGCGAUCCCCACAAAUUUAUAAACAUCAGUUUCAGUUGUAUAAAAUAGUCUACUUCAAUGUAUAAGGAUGCAUAUAUAAUCAUAUUAAUGCCAAACAUACCUUUUUUUAGUUAUGUCUGGUUUAUUUA